ensembl:lncRNA
GUUACUACACUCAGAUUACUACACUCAGGUUACUACACUCAGGUUACUACACUCGGAUUACUACACUCGGAUUACUACACUCAGAUUACUACACUCAGAUUACUACACUCAGAUUACUACACUCAGAUUACUACACUCGGAUUACUACACUCGGGUUACUACACUCGGGUUACUACACUCGGGUUAGUACACUCGGGUUACUACACUCGGGUUACUACACUCGGGUUACUACACUCGGAUUACUACACUCAGAUUACUACACUCAGAUUAAUACACUCAGAUUACUACACUCGGGUUACUACACUCAGAUUACUACACUCAGAUUACUACACUCAGAUUCUACACUCGGGUUACUACACUCGGGUUAGUUCACUCGGGUUAGUUCACUCGGGUUAGUACACUCAGAUUACUACACUUUGUGAAUUAAAGCUGUAUUGACUUGUCUUAGUGCUAAACAAUAUACAUCUGUAACUGGUAUGCUACAAAUGAUCAAUAAUAAUCAUCUGAUUCAAAAC